CUUCAUUCAAAGGUUCACGACAGAGAGCUGAUGGAGACCGAAAGAGAGUCUGUCCUUGACAUAGAAGAGGAGGAAUUUCAACAAAAGUCCCUUAAUUUAACUGAAGGUGCCUGGAAGUCUGUGGGCCACCUCUCAUGCCGACCCUGGAGAAUGAAAGGACAGAGCCUGUCAAGAUUCAAACAGACAUCACUACGCUUCUUCCCAAAUUGCCUCAAUCCCCAUGAAACGCAAGGCCGUGCAAGGCCUCGCGCCGACGGCAAGAAGGACCUGGUCACCUGGGGGCCAGUGGUCCCCGUCCCGGCCCUGGGACAAGGAAUCUUGCCCACCCACCCAGAAACAUAGUGGACAGAGCGGCGACUUUUCCAGGACUGGGCCCACGAACAAGACAGUGCCCCUUCCCCAGCUGUUCUGAACCAUCACAAGGGUUCACCAUUCAAA